rnacentral:tRNA from 1 species
GGAGGGGUGUCCGAGCGGUUUAAGGAGCUGGUCUUGAAAACCAGUGACUCGUCCUGCGAGCCGUGGGUUCGAAUCCCACCCCCUCCGCCA